rnacentral:lncRNA from 1 species
AUUGCAAAUAUUAGGAUAUGAAAUAACGAUUACAUAAAGGAAAUGUAUAAUUUAGAAAAUUAAAACCAUUAUCUAAACUAUUCCUAAUAAAAUACAUGAGGAAAAUUUGGAGUAACGAGAAUUUUGGGAAACGUAAAUUCAAGCAGGACAGAUGUGGACCUGCUUUUUAUUAAUAUAGACUACAAGAGAUAACAGUAAUUCGGAAAAUAAAAAUAAGAGACAAAAAUUUAUUCUCAAUAAAAUAAGAGACAAAAAUUUAGGAUAACGUGAAUUCAAUUAAAACAUAUACGGACAUACCAUUUACUAAUGUGGAUUAUGAAUAAUGGAUCUUUUACGGGUUAAAAUUAUUUUAAUAUGUUGUGAAGCAUGCAUAGCGGACGGGAAGUUUUUUUUAGGAAAUAUAUUUAAGUUAUCUAGGAAGGGAAGUUCUUUUGUUUUCAUCCGGUUUGAUAGUUCACGGGUUUAACGGAAAUUAAGAUGAUUACUAAUUUGGUUCACAUUCAAUUUGGAUUCGCUAUCCUAUCGAUCCAAAGUUUAUUGUGAAGCGAUUAUUAUUUCAAGCAUUCAUAAACUUAAUAAAAACAUACCAAUGUAUGUUUAUGUUACAAAUGUUAUACGAAAUAAAUAUAUCUACGAAUAAGUCUCAAUCAUUGACCUAUUU